GCUUAAUACAGCAGGGGACAGAGUACACUCGGAAUUCUUCAUUAGGCAUACCGAUGGAAGCCCAAUUAGUUCAGAAGCAGAGAAACAGCGAGUGAUUCUAUGUUUACAAGCAGCAAUUGAGCGAAGAGCAUCUGAGGGAGUGAGGCUGGAGUUAUGCACGGGAGACAAACAAGGACUAUUAGCCGAUGUAACACGAACUUUUCGUGAAAAUGGUUUAAACGUG
rnacentral:misc_RNA from 1 species